GAUACAAGGGUCAAAAGGUCAGAACUCCUUCCUGCUUGCAGGAUAAGAGCUCUGACUUGUUGACCCGCACACACAUGAGGACUGUCACCAUCAACGGAUUCCGAAUGUGUGUAGAAUUGCGGGAGUUGCGUAGCAACGGAGCAAUUCGU
rnacentral:sRNA from 1 species